rnacentral:rRNA from 1 species
AUUGAACGCUGGCGGCAGGCUUAACACAUGCAAGUCGAACGAGUGGCGGACGGGUGAGUAAUGCUUGGGAAUCUGGCUUAUGGAGGGGGAUAACGACGGGAAACUGUCGCUAAUACCGCAUACCAUAGGAUGAGCCCAAGUGGGAUUAGGUAGUUGGUGGGGUAAUGGCCAACAAAGCCGACGAUCGCUAGCUGGUCUGAGAGGAUGACGAGCCAAACGGGGACUGGGACACGGCCCGGACUCCUACGGGGGGCAGCAGUGGUGAAUUUUGGACAAUGGGCGCAAGCCUGCGCCAGCAAUGCCGGGUGUCUGAAGAAGGCCUUCGGGUUGUAAAGGACUUUUGUCAGGGAAGCGGUACCUGAAGAAUAAGCACCGGCUAACUACGUGCCAGCAGCCGCGGUAAUAC